AUAGGAUUGGCUGAGACUGACAAAGAGGCAGAUCAGGGGUAGAGCCAGCAUGAUUCAAACACAGCCCUGGCCAAUCAGCAUCUCCUCAUAGAGAUGAAUUGAAUCAAUGAAUCUCUAUGAGGAAAGUUCAGUGUCUGCAUGCAGAGGGAGGAGACACUGAAUGUUUGGAUGCAUUUUAGGCAGCCAUGACCCAGGAAGGAU